GCUCCAUCAACUUCAGCG
rnacentral:miRNA from 1 species